rnacentral:snRNA from 1 species
GUGCUUGCUUUGGCAGCACAUACACUAAAUUUGAAACUAUACAGAGAAGAUUAGCAUGGCCUCUGUGCAAGGACAGAUUCGUGAAGCGUUCCAUAUUUUU